UACGGAGGGAGCUAGCGUUGUUCGGAAUUACUGGGCGUAAAGCGCACGUAGGCGGCUUUGUAAGUUAGAGGUGAAAUCCCCGGGCUCAACCCGGGAACUGCGUCCGAGACUGGCAGGCUCGAAUCCGGGAGAGGGAUGUGGAAUUCCAGGUGUAGCGGUGAAAUGCGUAGAUAUCUGGAGGAACAUCGGUGGCGAAGGCGGCAUCCUGGACCGGUAUUGACGCUGAGGCGCGAAAGCCAGGGGAGCAAACGGG
rnacentral:rRNA from 1 species